AUGCAAAUGGGGGCCCAACCAACACGCCACAGUAGCCUAGAUGAGAUCGAAGACCUGUCACAACUUCAGCCUAAUGCAAAUGGAAAUAGCCAAGGCGAGGAUCCUCAGCCUCCCGAGACGGAGAGCUAUGAGCUCAUGCGGGACCUCAGCAAGUACAUCCUGCUGCUGGCAACGCUGGUGGCCACGGUGACAUACGCCGCGGGGUUCAACCCGCCGGGGGGCGUCUGGCAGGAGACCGUCGCCGCCUCGGACCAACUCGCCGGCGACUCCAUUAUCCGGACCACCAGCUACGGCCGGUACCUGGUCUUCUUCUACUGCAACGCCACCGCGUUUGCCUCGUCGCUCGUGAUCAUCGUCCUCGUCCUCUUCCUCACGCUCCUAAAGAAGCAGCUGCUCCAACUCAAGCCGCUGCAGGCAGUCAUGGUGGUGGACCUGCUGAGCGUCAUGGGGGCCUACGCCGCCGGGACCUGCCGGGACAAGACCACCACCAUCUACUCCUCGGUGCUGGUGGUUGUCGUCAUCGCCUACCUCACUUACCAGAUGGUGAUGGCCUGGCGGUUGCCAGAUAAUGAGAACAGGAACAACGACGCACGGGCAGCAGUGGACAAGAAACGGCUCCGAAAGGUCCUGAUGCUGCUCGCGACGUUCGCGGUGAGCGUGACGUACGUCGCCGGGAUGAGCACGCCGGGCGGCUUCUGGGACAACACCGAGAACGGUCACCGGCCAGGCGACGCCAUCCUCAAGGACAGCCACGACAAGCGCCUGACGGUGUUCUUGUGCUUCAACACCAUGGCAUUCGUCGCAUCGCUGCUCAUCAUCGUGGUGCUUCUGGACAGGAAGCCCCGGGAGAAUGAGGCCUACGGGUGCAUCGCCGUUGCGCUGAUCAGCCUCGUCGGGGCAUACACCGCCGGCAGCUGCAGGGAGACCGACACCACCAUCUAUGUCUCCAGCCUGGUUGGUGCCGUCCUGAUAUUCAUGGCAUUGCUCCAGGGUGUUGUUUAUUUGAAAGGAGAUGUGGCUGCUGCUGCUGGAGGUGCCGAACAAGACAGAAGAACAUCCUGCUUCAGGACCACGCUGACAAAUGUCCAGGCUAAGAUUGCAGGAUGGUUGCAAAGUCCGGCGGAGACUGGUCAGGGCAGGGACGCAGCGCAGCAGGCUCGCUCCCUUGUUCUAUUGCUAGCCACUCUUGCUGCAACCAUCACCUACCAAGCCGGCCUGGACCCUCCCGGCGGCGUCUGGCCGGAUAACAAGAACGGCCACAUGGCCGGUGACCCGAUCCUCCUCACUGUGAAUGCUGGGCGGUACAAGGCCUUCUACUACUGCAACUCCGUCGCCUUUGUAGCCUCCUUGGUGGCCAUCAUCCUGGUCCAAAGCAAGGUUAUGCUCGAGACCCACGUGCUCGAGGCAGCCAUGGUACUGGACUUGUUUGGCCUCAUCGGAGCAUAUGCCGCAGGAAGUUCUCGGGACUUGAGCACCUCCAUUUACGCCAUGGCCUUGGCGGGCGCUGUCCUAGUCUAUGUAGUGAUCCAUGUUGUCUUCUUCACACUGAACCACGGCGACCCCACCCCAGAGGAAAUUAAGUCUGUGGACAAGAGGCGCAAGCGGUUGCUCCUUUUUGCAGUAUUGGCAGCGACCAUCACUUACCAGGCUGGGCUGACACCUCCGGGCGGCGUCCGGCUCCAGGAUGAUGGGUCUAGCGGGCACCAGGCAGGGGACCCGGUCCUCUUCUACAACUUUCCCCGCCGCUACACAGCCUUUUUCUACUGCAAUUCGGUGAGCUUCAUGCUGUCCAUUGCCCUCAUCAUAUUGCUCGUGAACCCCCAUUUAUACAGGCCAGCCAUACGAAGCUAUGCACUUGCUGUUUGCACGGGGGCAGGCAUGUUUGGUCUGAUGGGGGCAUAUGCUGCCGGAAGCACCCAGCAUCUGAAAACAUCCAUCUACAUCUUUGUCUUGGGGGCUGUGGUCCUCUUCGUCAUAGCUGUACUGCUACUAGUGUUCUUGGAUAACAGAAAUGCAAACGUGACCAGUCAACCGAGGCCAGAGAAUGAUGAUGACGAAGAACGAAAGACAAAACAAGCCAAGCGCAAAUACCUGAUGCUGCUAGGAAUCCUUGUGGCGAGUGUCACCUACCAGGCCGGCCUAGAUCCGCCUGGCGGAGCUUGGCAGCACAGUGGGAGUGGGUACGAUGCAGGCAACCCGAUCAUGCAUGACAACCAGAGGCACCGUUACCUCGCCUUCUUCUACAGCAACUCCACGUCCUUCGUCGCAUCCAUUGUUGUUAUCAUCAUUUUGCUACUGGAGUGGAAGGACGGGAAGAGAUGGUCGCUCAAGGUCAUGAACACGACCAUUGUGCUGGAUUUGCUCGCUCUCCUAGUGGCCUACGCAGCAGGCUCCAGCAGGGGGUGGAAGACGUCUGUGUAUGUCGUCGCACUAGUUAUCGCCGUGCUGGCAUAUGUUGCAGUCCAUAUAGUGCUGGCAAUCUCAUGUUGUCAUAGCCCGCGGGAAGAGAACAGUGUGGAUCCUGCACGGGUAGCUCCAGCGGCACCCAUUGUUUGA
rnacentral:rRNA from 1 species